GAGAGACAGAAGGACAUAAAUCUACGGGGGGGCGGGGUGGGGAGGGACAGGAUUAUGGCGCUGUGACAGCCAUCAGAACAGAGACCUAGAUGGGAAGGGAGAAAUGUGGGGACCUGUUACGGAACAAAGAAAAGAAUCCCGGGACCUAACUGGUCAGGGAAGAAGGAGGAAGCCAAGCAUUUUCCGUCAGGGGAAAGGCUAGCGAAGGACGGAAACUGGUAAAUACAGGUAGGGAUUUACGUGGAACCAUUUUGAGAAAGGGAGUUCUCAGUGUCAUCCCAUCCUCCAUUCAUCCGUGUACCCUUCAGUCCCAAUAUUCACAGACCGCACUGGGGGCCCACAGCUGUGAACCAGCAACUCUGGUCUAUGAUUUUCCUUUGCUCCUGGUGGCGACACUGCUAUUGCAUUUCUAAGGAGGCUGCAAUGGGGAAGCGGAAGGAGGCAGGAUGUACUCAGAAGGACAUCUAGUGGGAGGAAAGGGUAGAAGAGACUCCUCUCAAAAUCCCGGCCACAUUUUCUUCCUCUCACUCCCGGGACUCCAGCCACAUGUAUUGUGGGUGUCUGCAUCACUGCCUCCUUAACGUCCUCAUUCAGAAGUUCUUUGAGACUCAUCUAUUUCAUCUUCCUUCAUCAUAGGACCUAACACAACGCUUUGCAUCUACUAGAUGUUCAAGAAAUAUUUGCUGAAGGCAUAGAUGUCUCAAGUGAAGACAUGGGGGUGGGAGAUGUGGGCAAGAUCUGUGAUUCAAGACAAAUGAGAAUCCAAUUCAGUGUCCACUCAGUGGCCAAGGGCUUCAGGUGCAGAGGAGAAAGAAGAAAAUGAAAAUGUUUCUCUUUCUGCUAGCACUCCUCCUCCAACCUCUAGAAGGUUUACUCCCAGCACUUCUUCAGCUUGGCUCCUACUGCAUUAUUUUACAUGUGUUAAUGGAUGCUUUAUAAAUAAAUUCUUUGCUAGUAGUGCGUGUGUGCGUCCGUGCAUCUGCGCACGCGCUCUGUUCCUCCUUGCGGGGGGUAAGCUGUCUUCUGUGCCUUUUACAUUACCCGGUAGUAGCUGGAACCAGACACUGAAGGGGCUGGAUCUUGGAAGAAGAUCAUCCGGUUCUGGUCUCAGGACACCUGCCUCCAGGCCCAGCACCCCCAGUCUUCCAUCACCAGCUAAAACUCCCUUUCCGCCCAGCCCCUGGAAACACUUCACUAAGCUUUGCCUCCAGUUUCCCAGACCGCUCUGGGAUGGGAAGCGUCUGCCCACCAUCAUGCUGCCCUCUUCUGUUCAGAAAGUGCAACGUCGCUAAUUUAAGAGGUCUGGAUGGUGCCAGCCACCCAGGAAGACAAGAUCCCUGCCACAGACAGC